rnacentral:lncRNA from 1 species
NNNCCUAAGCACUAUGACAUGUUGCAGCUGGUCCAUGUUCAGCUGAGAAACGUCCAGUGUGGGGAUGCCCAUCAUCUGGCAGCACAAGAGAGAGACUGGGGUGCCAUUUGUUAGGGGGGAGAUUCUGUAGAAAGUGGGGUCCCUGGAAGGGGUUGGGAGAGAAGAGUUAAAAUGGGGACAUUGGCAGCUAAAAGUCCAGAAAACACCAGCUCAGGUUUGCUCCUUCACUUGGUGUGUUUGCUGUGGUCACUACCUCAAGCAAAGCCAGGGUGUAGAGAUGGAUGAGCCUCUAGGAGCAUCUGCCUGAGUGACCUCUGGGGUCGGUCCCCAGGUUCUGUGACGCUGUGAGCUCUAAUGGGGGUUUCUUAGAACUCACUUUUGAAAGCACCUGUCUCCUAUUCUGCCUGCUCCUGGUUGGCAGCCUCGCCCCAUGGAGUCGCAGAAACAGACGGCCAGAACAGGACCUGGCCUCCUGGGGUUAAAUCCUGACUCUGCCUUCAGGUUGCUGUGUGUCCCAAGGCCGCCCGCUGCCCCUCUCUGAGCAGCUUCCAUUUUCUUCUCUUUGUAAAAUGGACAAAGUUGAGAUAGACGCUCUUUCUGAGAUCCCCAGCACGGACAUUUUACAUCCCCAGCUCCUCUGCUGGCUGGCCAUGGGGCCCACGGAAGUAGACAGAACACCCCUUGGGUUGUGGAUGUCCUUGCCCACUGCCUCCAAGCACUGGUCUCAGGCAGCGGCACCCCAGAGAUGGGAGCCUGACCCCACCCACCCCACAUCUUGCAGGUGCACCCUUUACUGCCAGGCUCGGCCACCGUCCUGAUCCAUGACCUGUGCCUGCCCUUCCUGGCCCCAGCCAAGGCCACCGUCUACGUCUCAGACAUCCACGAGCUGUAUGUCCGCGUGGUUGACAAGGUCAGUGGACAUGUCCCCUCAAAGCUGGCCUUCCCACUGCCCUUGGGCUGCUCUGAGCUCCCUGGCUGGGUGGGGAGGGGCAGCAUCUCCACUGCUGUCCGGUUUCCUCGUCCAGCCGACAUCCGCGGGGCUCAGCCAUAGACCCUGGCGAGGUCAGCUAAGCCAGCCUGGCCUGGGACCCGUGUCCUCCAGCGCCUGCAGGUCACACAGCAGCCGGGCCCCCCAUCCCGGGUGCAGCUGUGCUCCUCUGGAGUUUCACCACCCUGGGGAGAGCUCAGGGCCUCCAAUUGCUCUUGCAAAAUGGUAAAUAAUAGAUCUGGGUUUUCUUUGGCCUCAUCAGGAAACUUUUUCUUUUUAUUAUUAUUAUUAUAUUUUUUUGGUACCAGGACUGAUCCCAGGGGCACUCGACCCCUGAGCCCCGUCCCCAGCCCUUUUGGUAUUUUAUUGAGAGACAGGGCCUCACUGAGUUGCUUAGGGCCUCACUGUUGCUGAGGCUCACGAUCCUCCUGCCUCAGCCUCCCGUGCCACUGGGAUUACAGGCACCCAGCUCAUCAGGAAAUUUUUAUGACUCCCAAUAUCAGAGGUAACCCACGCCAGGCUUCCAGGGGGUGCUGUCAGCCUCUUGUUUGACCCAGUGGGUGUAACGGUUGGUAAUUAAAAGGCAAAUAUUCAGGCAGCUUAGGCUACUUACCUACAAAGUAUCAUUAGCUAAAGUGCUAACAUUCCCGACCGGGUCUUAAAUAUUCCUCCCAUAAUGUGAUUUCUCUGCUCAUUUCCUUACUAGAUUCCUUUUUUUUUGCUAAGCAUUUCCAGCCCCCACUUGCUAUUAUGCACUGCCAGAUGUGAACUGUUCAGUUGGUGAGCACUUAUUGAGCUCCUGUUGAAUGCAUGAUGGAGUUAUAAGCUAUAUAUAUUUUUUUCUUUCUUUCUUUUUUUUGAAUGAGCGUACCAGGGAUUGGACUCAGGGAAACUCAGCCCCUUAGCCGCAUCCCCAGCCCUAUUUUGCAUUUUAUUUAGAGACAGGGCCUCACUGAUUUGCUUAGGGCCUCACUGUUGCUGAGGCUGGCUUUGAACUCACGAUCCUCCUGCCUCAGCCUUCCGAGCUGCUGGGAUGACAGGCGUGGGCCACCUCGCGUGGCCUAAGCUAUACCUUAUUUUCGGGGUUCUGUGGUUCAUCCAUUAAGAGUAGGGAGUGGAAUUUUUGUCUCUUAGUGUCCCCAAGCCCUGUUGUAUACAAUAAGUACUUAAUUGGUGUUCGUUUGUUGAUUGACCUAGUCCAGAGAGAGGUCAUCCUGGGCGACUCAUCGCCAGCUCCUAGGGCAUUGGUUUUGAGGUCACUGUCCCCACCUGAGGGAACUGGUCCUUCAAGCCUCUGUCCCCCCGACACAGGUGGAGAUUGGAAAGAUGGUCAAGGCCCACGUCCGAGUGCUGGACUUUUACAAGAAGUCUUUCCUGGCCAAGUACUUUGCCUUCAUGGACCUCAAGCUGCGGGCGGCCUCCCAGAUCAUCACCCUGGUGUGAGUCCUCCUGGGGGUCAGGCGGGCUUCUCAGGGACAGUGCUGGACCGACUGUGCCCUCCUUGGCAGGUCUGACCCGGAGGUGGAACCCAGCGCCCCAUCUGUUUCAGGGCCCUGGAUGAAGCCCUGGACAGCUACACGGCUGCGUUCCUGGUGCAUGGCACGGCCAUCGGCCAGACCAGCCUGACCGCAAGCGUGACCGAUACCGCCGGACAGAGGAUCAGCUCGACCCCGCAGCAGAUUGAAGUAAACCGGCCCUUCUCACGCCCUCUGGGGUCUGCCCCUGCUGGGGGAGGGUGUCUUCUUGGUGACAGGCUGGACGGUCCAGCAACAGCCCAGGAAGUCACCACGGAGAGGCCCUGUUAAAAUGUGUGCCCGUCCUGGCUUCUGAGGAGCGGGUCUCCACCCGGCCCCGGGGCCGGGAGGCAGGUCUCAGUGCUGGAGAGAGGUGGCUGGGGGUUUUGCUUUUUGGUACCAGGGCUUAAACCCAGGGGCCCUCGACCACUGAGUCCUGUCCCCAGCCCUGUUUUGCAUUUUUUUUAGAGACAGGGUCUCACUGAGUUGCUCAGGGCCUCACUUUUGCUGAGGCUGGCCUCCAACUGGCGAUCCUCCUGCCUCAGCCUCCCAAACCACUGGGAUGACAGGCGUGGGCCCCUGAGCCCAGCCUGAGUGUUUCUAAUCUCCCUCUGUGACACAGGGGGUCUGUGUGGCCCUAAGGAGAGGCAUGCCUAGUCACAUGGCAAGGGGACGAGCAAGAACUGUUCCCAGAGAGUGGCCCGUAGGGAAGUGGCAGAUGCACUGUGUAGACCUGACCUGAGCCUCCGCCCAGGCGCCUGGGGGCUGAGCUCCUGCCAUGGGGCUGUGCGGGCAGAGGGGUCACUGAGCCACCCGGAGCCACCCAGGGCCGGCCGCUCUGGGGAAGGCAGCCCUGAAGCCCCUGUCUCCGUGUGACGCUGGGCUCUGUCGGGUCCUUAGAGUCUUACUGCCAAGGCCACCGGGGCCAGGGCACCCUGUUGUUUGGACCCUCC